rnacentral:rRNA from 1 species
UACGGGGGGUGCUAGCGUUAUUCGGAAUCAUUGGGCGUAAAGGGCGCGUAGGCGGUCUUUUAAGUCAGAUGUGAAAGCCCUCGGCUUAACCGAGGAAGUGCAUUUGAUACUAAGAGACUUGAGUAUGGGAGAGGGAAGCGGAAUUCCUGGUGUAGCGGUGAAAUGCGUAGAUAUCAGGAGGAACACCAGUGGCGAAGGCGGCUUCCUGGACCAAUACUGACGCUGAGGCGCGAAGGCGUGGGGAG